UUGUGGAGGAGGACGCCGAAGGUGGGGCUAAUGACUGGGGUGAAGUCGUAACAAGGUAGCCGUACCGGAAGGUGCGGCUGGAUCACCUCCUAACAGGGAGACAACAAAAUGUAAAUAUUAAUUUUGUCACCUUAGGUCGAUCGGUAUUUCAGAUUCUUAUUAUUUAAGAAUUUCAGUUUCUAAGUUUUUUCUAGGUCACACCCAUCACUUUUUCCUGGGCCAUUAGCUCAGGUGGUUAGAGCGCACCCCUGAUAAGGGUGAGGUCCCUGGUUCAAGUCCAGGAUGGCCCAUAUCUCUAUGUUGGGGGUAUAGCUCAGUUGGUAGAGCGCCUGCUUUGCAAGCAGGAUGUCAGCGGUUCGAGUCCGCUUACCUCCACUGAAUACCACCUCUUACAUAUAGUUGAAGUGGGAAAUUGUUUUGAGUCGUGUCCUAAUUUGCUCUGAGCGAAUCUAGCUUCCUAUUUUAUCCAAGAAAUAAGAUGCUGGACUCAUUGAAUUUUUUUUUCAUUGUUUUCAGAGAACCUUGACAACUGCAUAGAUUAUUUUUAAAGACAAUAAGCAUCUUUAAUGAUGCAGAUUUAUUAUUUGUGCGAAUGCAUUAAAUAACAAUUCUAUUAAGCUGAUGCUUCAAUUAUGAAGUUAUUGGUCAAGCUACAA
rnacentral:misc_RNA from 1 species